GGAGGUUGGCGGCGGACGGAUCCCUCGCCAAUCCGGCCAGGUCCGAGAGGAAGCAACCGUAACGAGUUCCGGUCCGGGUCGUCGUUUCAACCUCCCAC
rnacentral:SRP_RNA from 1 species